AUUGAACGCUGGCGGCAUGCUUUACACAUGCAAGUCGAACGGCAGCGGGGAGGAGCUUGCUUCUCUGCCGGCGAGUGGCGAACGGGUGAGUAAUACAUCGGAACGUGUCGAGAAGAGGGGGAUAACCACCCGAAAGGGUGGCUAAUACCGCAUAAAUUCUGAGGAAGAAAGCUGGGGACCUAGGAAUAGGCCUAGCGCUUUUUGAGCGGCCGAUGUCGGAUUAGCUAGUUGGUGAGGUAAAGGCUCACCAAGGCGAAGAUCUGUAGCGGGUCUGAGAGGAUGAUCCGCCACACUGGGACUGAGACACGGCCCAGACUCCUACGGGAGGCAGCAGUGGGGAAUUUUGGACAAUGGGGGCAACCCUGAUCCAGCCAUGCCGCGUGUAUGAAGAAGGCCUUAGGGUUGUAAAGUACUUUUGUUAGGGAAGAAAAGUCAGCUGUGAAUAAUGGCUGAUACGGACGGGACCUAAAGAAUAGCACCGGCUAACUACGUG
rnacentral:rRNA from 1 species